rnacentral:rRNA from 1 species
UGGGGAAUAUUGGACAAUGGGCGGAAGCCUGAUCCAGCAACGCCGCGUGAGGGAUGACGGCCUUCGGGUUGUAAACCUCUUUCAGUACCGACGAAGCGAAAGUGACGGUAGGUACAGAAGAAGGACCGGCCAACUACGUGCCAGCAGCCGCGGUAAUACGUAGGGUCCGAGCGUUGUCCGGAAUUAUUGGGCGUAAAGGGCUCGUAGGCGGUUUGUCGCGUCGGGAGUGAAAACAGCGGGCUUAACUCGUUGCUUGCUUUCGAUACGGGCAGACUAGAGGUAUGCAGGGGAGAAUGGAAUUCCUGGUGUAGCGAUGAAAUGCGCAGAUAUCAGGAGGAACACCGGUGGCGAAGGCGGUUCUCUGGGCAUUACCUGACGCUGAGGAGCGAAAGGUGUGGGGAGCGAACAGGAUUAGAUACCCUGGUAGUCCACACCGUAAACGUUGGGCGCUAGGUGUGGGGUCCUUUGCCACGGAUUCCGUGCCGUAGCUAACGCAUUAAGCGCCCCGCCUGGGGGAGUACGGCCGCAAGGCUCAAAACUUAAAGUG